ACACGUGGGUAACCUGCCUUAUAGUGGGGGAUAGCCUUUCGAAAGGAAGAUUAAUACCGCAUAAGAUUGUAGUAUCGCAUGAUAUAGCAAUUAAAGGAGCAAUUCGCUAUAAGAUGGACCCGCGUCGCAUUAGCUAGUUGGUGAGGUAAUGGCUCACCAAGGCGACGAUGCGUAGCCGACCUGAGAGGGUGAUCGGCCACAUUGGGACUGAGACUCGGCCCAGACUCCUACGGGAGGCAGCAUG
rnacentral:rRNA from 1 species